UGAGUUGAUGACGCGUCAUCCGCGGUUUCCUGUGCGUUUGUUCUAGUUGUCCUCUCGACACACGUCUGAUCAUGUUGGGCAAAAUAAUUGGACAGAAAUAUGUGUCUGUUGCGAAAACAUGGGUUCCCACGCUCACCGUCUGGGGAGGAGUUGGAGGUGUUGCUCUCGUUUACUU